AAUAUUUGACAAUUGGGGCAACCCUGAUCCAGCCAUGCCGCGUGUGUGAAUAAGGUCUUCGGAUUUUAAAGCACUUUAAGGUGGGAGGAAGGGCUUUAGGCUAAUACCCUGAAGUUUUGUCGUUACUAACAGAAUAAGCACCGGCUCACUCUGUGCCAGCAGCCGCGGUAAUACAGAGGGUGCAAUCGUUAAUCGGAAUUACUGGGCGUAAAGCGCGCGUAGGUGGUUCAGUAAGAUGGGUGUGAAAUCCCCGGGCUUAACCUGGGAACUGCUUUCAUAACUGCUGAGCUAGAGUACGGUAGAGGGUAGUGGAAUUUCCUGUGUAGCGGUGAAAUGCGUAGAUAUAGGAAGGAACACCAGUGGCGAAGGCGACUACCUGGACUGAUACUGACACUGAGGUGCGAAAGCGUGGGGAGCAAAC
rnacentral:rRNA from 1 species